CACUAUUUAAGAGUUAAAAUAUUAACACUUUCAAAAGUGUUACUUUAACUCCAACUUGGUGAGGAUUAUAUAAACACCAAGAAAGUGUUAAAUUUGACUCUAUGAGAGUUAAAUUAACACUAAGGAUUUUGCUGUGUAGUUUGCUAGUUAGCCACCUAACGGUUGAGGCUGCGUGUUAGGGCUUCUGUCACUUCGUGCUCGUGCUUUGCUCACUUUGUAUUUUAUAUUGACUAGUUACUCCAAUUCAUUUAGUAAAGUUGUUUUAACAUGGAUAUUAUGCCGAUAAUUAAUAAUGAGCAGCAUGCGCUGUUUUUUUUCCGCAGUCCCCUGUUACCGGUAUGUUUUACACAGACAGAUGGAGCUUGUGUGACGGGACGCAUAGCUACCGUCACGGUAGCGAUACGCUACCCAGGACAUUAUUAAGAGACUGAGUGUAAAUGUUGCCUGUGUGUUUGUCUAUGUGUUCCGUUAUCUUCAUACUGUUUUCAAAUCGUUUAUCAACCAUAUCAUUUAUCAUACGCGCUACGGCAGUUUAUUAUAAUCUUGCAAGUACCAUCAUUACAACUUUCUGUUUAAUACCAUUUACCAUUAACGUCACCUGUUCUUUUGCAAUAACCACUCAAACAAGUAUGUCGUUGUUAAAUUCCAUGUCCGUUUAUUUAGUUUAGUUACAUGUUAACACAGCGUAAAUGUUCGUCUCGUCUUGUGUUUGUAUUAGGGGUUGCGUGCCGCGUCAACGCGGUUUAAAUUCACGUCACGACUGAGUGUUUACCACCUAGUUCAAGUCGCUCGAACACAUCUACCCAUGACAGCUUGCAAUUUGAUGAAUUAACUGAAAAUGAACGUCAUUUAUAGAUAAAAAAUAUAUUGUUUUAACUAACGUUAAGUGUCUGAGAACAGUUGAAUUAUUACUUUGGUUGACAGAGGAUAUUUGUGUUUUUUGUGUGUCCCUUAGAGCUCUAUUCUGCUCUUAUUUUUCCCUCGCUCAUUGCCCUUUUCUCUGCUGUUCUAUUAUUGGUUUCAGCUCAGUGCUGAGUUCAGUAGAAUCGUCACCAAAGAACUGCUGGAGUCAUUCCUGGAUGGACUAGAUGCCUUGGUGCCAGGUGUUCUACAGAUGUACGGAGAAGCUGCUGCAUCAGGCAGGAGGGUGCGCCUGAGCAGUAUUCUCAGUUGUCUUCAAAAGGAGGACACGAACCAAAACAAAAGAACAGCUGUCCUACUUGGUCUUCCAUGCUACCUUGCAGAAGAUUCCUCUGACAUAAUCAGGAUGUGUGAUGCUCAUGGUGAAACCCUUGACGUGCUAAUGAGCAGGAUGCAAGUUGGACUGUUAAUUGGACACGAAGGCCCUCUGCAUGAUGCAUUUCCAUUGGAUGUUUUCAACGUGGCUCUGGUAGUAGAGGAGAAGAUAAUCCUACAUGACCUCCGAGAUGUGUCCACAGGCUUUGCCAUGUUACUGGGUGCAAUCUACUGCCUAAACCUUGAGUACCCACGUAAUAUGAAGUAUUAUUUUGAGUACCUUCAGAGGGUUGUCAUGAACAUUAAACCGGACCAAUGUUCACCCAGAAUCCAUGGACUCAGAAAUAAACUGCUUAGAUAUCGCAUGUAAACAAAGAAAUGCACUUGUCAAGCAACUACUAGGAGGCAGCAGUUAUUUGGGAAGCUUGCCUUGUUCUUUACACUAGCAUACAGGUUUUCAUCGGCUUAGUUUGUUCAGCACAAGUCAGGUAUG